UACGUAGGGUGCGAGCGUUAAUCGGAAUUACUGGGCGUAAAGCGUGCGCAGGCGGUUCGUUGUGUCGGCGGUGAAAUCCCCGGGCUCAACCUGGGAAUGGCGAUGGAUACUGGGCAGCUAGAGUGUGUCAGAGGAUGGUGGAAUUCCCGGUGUAGCGGUGGAAUGCGUAGAGAUCGGGAGGAACAUCAGUGGCGAAGGCGGCCAUCUGGGACAACACUGACGCUGAAGCACGAAAGCGUGGGGAGCAAACAGG
rnacentral:rRNA from 1 species